rnacentral:ncRNA from 2 species
UGAGGUAGUAGGUUGUGUGGUG